rnacentral:rRNA from 1 species
ACCAAAUUCUCAACGAUGGAUAUCUUGGUUCCCAUUACGAUGAARAACGCAGCGAAGUGCGAUAAGCAAUGCGAAUUGCAGAACCGUGAGUCAUCAGAUUUUUGAACGCAACUGGCGCUAGAUGGCUAUCCAUCUAGCAUGCUUGUUUCAGUG